rnacentral:rRNA from 1 species
GGCUGCAGUCGAACGAAUCCCAUCUGGGUAACUGGGUGGGGGAAGUGGCGAAAGGGGCAGUAAGGCGUGGGCAACCUACCCCGGGGAUCGGGAUAGCCGUCCUAACGGACGGAUAAUACCGGGCGAUCUGGCGAGGAGGCAUCUUCUGGCCAGGAAAUGAAUUUCGCCUCGGGAGGGGCUCACGUAGUAUUAGCUUGUUGGCGGGGUAACGGCCCACCAAGGCCAAGAUGCUUAGCGGGUGUGAGAGCACGACCCGCGCCACUGGCACUGAGACACUGGCCAGACUCCUACGGGAGGCUGCAGUCGAGGACCUUCGGCAAUGGGCGCAAGCCUGACCGAGCGACGCCGCGUGUGCGAUGAAGGCCUUCGGGUUGUAAAGCACUGUCGAGGGGGAGAAAAGCCCGCAAGGGUCUGAUCUAUCCCUGGAGGAAGCACGGGCUAAGUUCGUGCCAGCAGCCGCGGUAAGACGAACCGUGCGAGCGUUGUUCGGAUUCACUGGGCUUAAAGGGCGCGUAGGCGGACGGUCAAGUCGGGGGUGAAAUCUUUCAGCUUAACUGGAAACGUGCCUUCGAUACUGAUCGUCUCGAGGGAGGUAGGGGCAUGCGGAACUUCCGGUGGAGCGGUGAAAUGCGUAGAUAUCGGAAGGAACGCCGGUGGCGAAAGCGGCGUGCUGGACCUCUUCUGACGCUGAGGCGCGAAAGCCAGGGGAGCGAACAGGAUUAGAUACCCCGGUAGUCCUGGCCCUAAACGAUGGGUACUAGAUUGUGGACUUAACAUGGGUUCCCAAUCGAAGCUAAAGUGUUAAGUACCCCGCCUGGGGAGUAUGGUCGCAAGGCUGAAACUCAAAGGA